GACGAACGCUGGCGGCGUGCUUAACACAUGCAAGUCGAACGGAAAGGCCCUGCUUUUGUGGGGUGCUCGAGUGGCGAACGGGUGAGUAACACGUGAGUAACCUGCCCUUGACUUUGGGAUAACUUCAGGAAACUGGGGCUAAUACCGGAUAGGAGCUCCUGCUGCAUGGUGGGGGUUGGAAAGUUUCGGCGGUUGGGGAUGGACUCGCGGCUUAUCAGCUUGUUGGUGGGGUAGUGGCUUACCAAGGCUUUGACGGGUAGCCGGCCUGGGAGGGUGACCGGCCACAUUGGGACUGAGAUACGGCCCAGACUCCUACGGGAGGCAGCAGUGGGGAAUAUUGCACAAUGGGCGGAAGCCUGAUGCAGCAACGCCGCGUGCGGGAUGACGGCCCUCGGGUUGUAAACCGCUUUCGCCUGUGACGAAGCGUGAGUGACGGUAAUGGGUAAAGAAGCACCGGCUAACUACGUGC
rnacentral:rRNA from 1 species